rnacentral:rRNA from 1 species
AGUGAACGCUGGCGGUAGGCCUAACACAUGCAAGUCGAACGGCAGCACAAUAAGAGCUUGCUCUUACGGGUGGCGAGUGGCGGACGGGUGAGGAAUACAUCGGAAUCUACUUUUUCGUGGGGGAUAACGUAGGGAAACUUACGCUAAUACCGCAUACGACCUACGGGUGAAAGCAGGGGAUCUUCGGACCUUGCGCGAUUGAAUGAGCCGAUGUCGGAUUAGCUAGUUGGCGGGGUAAAGGCCCACCAAGGCGACGAUCCGUAGCUGGUCUGAGAGGAUGAUCAGCCACACUGGAACUGAGACACGGUCCAGACUCCUACGGGAGGCAGCAGUGGGGAAUAUUGGACAAUAGGCGCAAGCCUGAUCCAGCCAUACCGCGUGGGUGAAGAAGGCCUUCGGGUUGUAAAGCCCUUUUGUUGGGAAAGAAAAGCAGCAGGUUAAUACCCCGCUGUUCUGACGGUACCCAAAGAAUAAGCACCGGCUAACUUCGUG